GUGCUGAUAUGUUUGGUGAUGACCUCGGGUCUGGACUCUGGGACGUCGUCCGUCUGAAGAGUUCGUGUUUUGACGAAAAAAAUUAAUCUGAAAAUAAAACUUCAUAAAGACAGAUGCAGCGGUAACAUGGCGGCAACAUGGCGGCUGCUGUCUUCAUGUCACACAGACCUCCAUCUCACGUCUCCUUUUUCCUCGUCUGAUCCUCCACAUCUGGGACGAGUUAGAGAGGAAUGAACAGAGAGAGAGAGAGAGCGAGAGAGAGGGGGGAGAGCGAGGGAGACGGACAGACAGGUUAUGUUCAAUCUGACAGUGUGUGUGUGUGUGUCUGUGUGUGUCUGUGUGUGUGCGUGCGUGUGUGUGUGUGUGUGUGUCUGUGUGUGUGUGUUGUCAUUAUAGGAACCAGAUUGGCAGCUUGUUGAGAGUUUGACCUUCUCUCUCUCUCUCUCUCCCUCUCUCUCUCUCUCUCUCUCUCUCUCUCUCUCUCUCUCUCUCUCUCUCUCUCUCUCUCUCUCUCUCUCUCUCCCUCUCUCUCUCUCUCUCUCUCUCUCUCCCUCUCUCUCUCCCUCCCUCUCUCUCUCUCUCUCCCUCUCUCUCUCUCUCUCUCUCUCUCUCUCUCUCUCUCUCUUCUGUAUUUCAGGUCGUGUCACACAGACGUAGUCCCUCAUUUUCAGGAUUGAGCUCUGAGUCUGUGGAGAAACACUGAAGUCCUUAAAAACUGCAGUUCCUCCAGAGUCCACUAGAGGCAGUAAACCUUUAAUCAUCCCGUCAGCCGAAUAAAAACUGAAGGAUUAAACUCAACAGUUCAAACCAGAUUAAGGUUUUAACUCACCUGUUUACACCAAAUUUAGGAUUAAACUCACCUGUAUAAACCAGAUUAAGGAUUAAACUCAACGGUUUAAACCAGAUUAAGGUUUUAAUUCAUUCGUUUAAACCAAAUUAAGGAUAAAACUCUACUAUUUAAACAAGAUUAAGGAUUUAAACUCACCUACAUAAACCAGAUUAAGGAUUAAACUCACCUGUUUUUACCAGAUUAAGGAUUAAACUCACCUGUUUUUACCAGAUUAAGGAUUAAACUCACCUGUUUUUACCAGAUUAAGAAUUAAACUCACCUGUUUAAACCAGAUUAAGGAUUAAACUCACCUGUUUGAACCAGAUUAAGGAUUAAACUCACCUGUUAACAUCAGAUUAAGGAUUAAACUCACCUGUUUAAACCAGAUUAAGGAUUAAACUCACCUGUUUAAACCAGAUUAAGGAUUAAACUCACCUGUUUAAACCAGAUUAAGGAUUAAACUCACCUGUUUAAACCAGAUUAAGGAUUAAACUCACCUGUUUUUACCAGAUUAAGGAUUAAACUCACCUGUUUAAACUAGAUAAAGGAUUAAACUCACCCGUUUACACCAGAUUAAGGAUUAAACUCACCUGUUUAAACUAGAUAAAGGAUUAAACUCACCUGUUUACACCAGAUUAAGGAUUAAACUCACCUGUUUAAAUCAGAUUAAGGAUUAAACUCACCUGUUUAAAUCAGAUAAAGGAUUAAACUCACCUGUUUACACCAGAUUAAGGAUUAAACUCACCUGUUUAAACCAGAUUAAGGAUUAAACUCACCUGUUUAAACUAGAUAAAGGAUUAAACUCACCUGUCUACAUCAGAUUAAGGAUUAAACUCACCUGUCAGGUGUCACCUCAGCUCGUUCAGUCCCUGAACUUUAACCUCUGAGCCUUUCUUAUUCUGGAGCUGGAGCCUUUGUUUGAUAUUGAUCAAUGUUUUGGCCUUACAGGUAUAAUCCAGAUUAGAAAUUGUUUAGAUUAAUCUCAGACCUGGUCUGGUUUUUGGAGGCUCUCGGAUUAAAGGUGUGUCUGUUUUUACCUGGACUGUCAGCUGUUUUACUCGUGUUUCUGAGCUCAGUCAGGAGUGAAUUUUUAUCACAUUGAAGAGAUUAAAUUCUGCUGAAAUUACGGCACCAUAAUCCUGGAUUAGAACAAUUCUGAUCCUGUCUUCAAUCAGGUCCGUUUGUGGGACUUUAGAGAGAAACUCCUAAAAUCGCAGGUUUUCUGAAUGGACUUUGGUUAGAGUGAACGUUCUCAGUGAAGACUCAGAGGCUCAAACACGAUCAGAUCAGGACUGAAGAUCAUCAUUUAUCAAUAACACAGACAUUGAUAAUAUAUCAGUAAUCACUGUCGAGUUUGGAGCAUGUUGUCAUGGCAACAGCAGCUGUACUGACCUCCAUCUGAGAGAAGUUCUGUUUGUUCUCUCCUCCACACAUGUUCUCACUCUGUGCACGUUAGUUUUAAUCGUCCGUGAAACGAGCAGAGUGUGUGAGUGUGUGUGAGAGAGUGUGUGUGUGAGUGUGUGUGUGUGUGAGAGAGAGAGAGAGUGAGAGAGAGAGAGAGUGUGUGUGUGUGUGUGUGUGUAGUUUGUAAGCUAAUAUUAUUUUAAACUGUUGACCGAGACUGAGAGCUACGACUAACACAGAGAGAGGGAACAAGGAGAGAGGGAACAAGGAGAGAGGGAACAAGGAGGGAGGAAACAAGGAGAGAGGGAGAAUGAGGAGAUAGGGAACAAGGAGGGAGGGAGAACGAGGAGAUAGGGAACAAGGAGAGAGGGAGAAUGAGGAGAUAGGGAACAAGGAGAGAGGGAGAAUGAGGAGAUAGGGAACAAGGAGAGAGGAAGCAAGGAGAGAGGGAGAACGAGGAGAUAGGGAACAAGGAGAGAGGAAGCAAGGAGAGAGGGAGAACGAGGAGAUAGGGAACAAGGAGAGAGGGAACAAGGAGAGAGGAAGCAAGGAGAGAGGGAGAACGAGGAGAUAGGGAACAAGGAGAGAGGGAGAAUGAGGAGAUAGGGAACAAGGAGAGAGGAAGCAAGGAGAGAGGGAGAAUGAGGAGAUAGGGAACAAGGAGAGAGGGAACAAGAAGAGAGGGAAAGAGGGGAGAGGAAACAAGGAGAGAGUGAACAAGGACAGAGUAAACACAGAGAGUGUUCUCCUCCCCUCAGGUCUUCAGUCGUUCUUCCUGCUCUUCUUCUCUGAUUAUUCAAACAUCAACGUUUAAACUGAUGAAGUUUUUGUCUCAGAAACUCUCAGUUUGUUUAUUUGGUUUAAAGUUUCAGAGAAAAUCGAAAACACUGACAACAAAACAGGGAAAUAUCCCUUUAAGGCACACACACACACACACACACACACACACACACACACACACACACACACACACACACACACACACACACACACAGGAGACAGCGUGAAGCUGUGCAGACAGACAGCUAAGUGUGUUUUUUCUCCUCAGGGCAGAACCUCUUAGUGUCAAACUGACAGAGAUAAGGACGACAAAUUACACACACUGACACACACACACACACACACACAGAAACACACACACACACACACACACACACACACACAACACACACACACACACAC
rnacentral:lncRNA from 1 species